GAUGAAGAACGUAGUAAAAUGCGAUAAGUAAUGUGAAUUGCAGAAUUCAGUGAAUCAUCGAAUCUUUGAACGCACAUUGCGCCCGCCAGUAUUCUGGCGGGCAUGCCUGUUCGAGCGUCAUUUCAACCCUCAAGCACAGCUUGGUGUUGGGACUCGCGUUAAUUCGCGUUCCUCAAAUUGAUUGGCGGUCACGUCGAGCUUCCAUAGCGUAGUAGUAAAACCCUCGUUACUGGUAAUCGUCGCGGCCACGCCGUUAAACCCCAACUUCUGAAUGUUGACCUCGGAUCAGGUAGGAAUACCCGCUGAACUUAAGCAUAUAAUAGCGGAGGA
rnacentral:misc_RNA from 1 species